AAAAUUUAAGAAUCAUUUAAAAAAUAGAUUUGAAAAAAAAUUAUAUAUGUUUCUGUGGUUAGUUUUUUAUCACCUGUACUUUUAUCUUUUAUUGUUUGGCGUAUCCUGUCCGUUUCGAAUAAAAUUAAAAACUACUUUUUUACUAUACAAUAUAUUUUAGUACAUUAUUUUAAAUGUUUUUUGAAAUUUACAUUUUUUAAUGAAUAAAAUUUAAUUUUAUGAAAAUACUUUUAAAAAAGUUUUGAAAAUAAAAAAAAAAAAUACUAAGGGCAUUCACUUUAAACAAAAUUUACAUUUUUCUUGUUGCAGCUAUUUGUAUAUCUAUUGUACCGUAUAUCUCUUCUGAGAAUUGAGAUAAAAAUGUAACAAUAGACUUCGCACAAAAAUAAAAAUAAUUAUUUUUACAGAAUUUAAAACAAUUUGCAUUUUUAGUUUAUCUACUUUAUCGUAGUAAACAUAUUGUGUGUGAAUAUAUUUUAAUGAACAAGUUUGUUUUGAAUUUCAAUUUAUCAACAGUUUAUCAGUCACGUGAAAAAAAAAAAAAAAUGAAAAUCACAAAGGAUGAGAGAGAAAAAGAAGAAAUUCCAUCAAUUGGUUGAGAUGGGCAAUAAAUAAUCAUAAUUACCUGAUACAAGUAUUGCAGCCGAACAAAGCAAAAUUAAAAUUUUCCUCAGCAUCUUUGCACUAAACUACUUAACAAAACGUCUGUUAAAUCGUACUGCGACAAACUGAAAAAAUACGUCGUAACCUAUAAAUUGUAUUUGUUCUUAUUUGGGGAAUUCCAAAGGAGACAAUGAUGAUGAGAAUGAGUAAAAUAGCAACAGACACAAGUCUCAACUUCCGACUCUUGAUUGCGUUUCGAAACUAAUCAAAAAAAUAAAAAAGA